GAGGUGGUUAUCGGUGGUUGUUGGAGGUGGUUGGCGGUGGUUGGCAGUGGUUGGAGGUGAACGAGGAGGAGAACGAGGAAGACGAGGAAACCAAGGUGGACGAGGAUGAUGAGGAUUUGUGCACUGUAUAACACGAGGUGGUUAGCGGUCGUCGUUGGAGGUGGUUUGAGGUGGUUACGGGAUGGUUGCGGGUGAUCGAGGAUUCCAAGUAUUUGACAACAGUGAUACCUUAUCACAUGGACAAUGGCCCACCUCAUAAUCAAGCUUUACAAGUCCUCACUAGGAUAUUAAAGGCUAUUAAUCAGGAUAGUCCAACGGUGCCCACAUUAUUAACGGACUACAUAUUGAAAGUUCUGUGCCCCACCUACUGAUCCACUGGUACAUAUCCUCCGACGUGACAUCGCUCUACUACGUAUAUAGAAGAAAGGAUUUAUUAAGAUGCAAAUUGCUCCUCUCUUCUUGCCAUUGUGCUUUCAGCCAUUGUUGUGCUGUGUGUUUAAAAUUUAGGACAGUAUAUAAUAUAGAAUAACAGGUACAGUUACGAAUAUAGCACUACAAUAAAUCUUAGAGAAAUGAGCUCUCAUUGAGAUUUCUCUGUAUUUAUAACUCGACGCGAGAAGGCAAAAAUCAAUGUAAUGCCAUCUGUAAGGUAAUUUGACUCGUGUUUACACAACGAGAACUCGUUGGGCAUUUUGCGGUGAAAUUUGAAAAAUUGUUGUACAAGAAAUUAAAUAACU